rnacentral:rRNA from 1 species
AGUGAACGCUGGCGGUAGGCCUAACACAUGCAAGUCGAACGGCAGCACAGUAAGAGCUUGCUCUUACGGGUGGCGAGUGGCGGACGGGUGAGGAAUACAUCGGAAUCUACUUUUUCGUGGGGGAUAACGUAGGGAAACUUACGCUAAUACCGCAUACGACCUACGGGUGAAAGCAGGGGAUCUUCGGACCUUGCGCGAUUGAAUGAGCCGAUGUCGGAUUAGCUAGUUGGCGGGGUAAAGGCCCACCAAGGCGACGAUCCGUAGCUGGUCUGAGAGGAUGAACAGCCACACUGGAACUGAGACACGGUCCAGACCCCUAGGGGAGGCAGAAGGGGGGAAUAUGGGAAAAGGGGCGCAAGCCUGAUCCAGCCAUACCGGGUGGGGGAAGAAGGCCUUGGGGUUGGAAAGCCCUUUUGUGGGGAAAAAAAAGAAGCAGGUUAAUACCCCGCUGUUUUGGCGGUAACAAAAAAAAAAGCACCGGCUAAUUUCGU